AGAGUUUGAUCCUGGCUCAGAUUGAACGCUGGCGGCAGGCCUAACACAUGCAAGUCGAGCGGUAGCACAGAGAGCUUGCUCUCGGGUGACGAGCGGCGGACGGGUGAGUAAUGUCUGGGAAACUGCCUGAUGGAGGGGGAUAACUACUGGAAACGGUAGCUAAUACCGCAUAAUGUCGCAAGACCAAAGUGGGGGACCUUCGGGCCUCAUGCCAUCAGAUGUGCCCAGAUGGGAUUAGCUGGUAGGUGGGGUAACGGCUCACCUAGGCGACGAUCCCUAGCUGGUCUGAGAGGAUGACCAGCCACACUGGAACUGAGACACGGUCCAGACUCCUACGGGAGGCAGCAGUGGGGAAUAUUGCACAAUGGGCGCAAGCCUGAUGCAGCCAUGCCGCGUGUGUGAAGAAGGCCUUCGGGUUGUAAAGCACUUUCAGCGGGGAGGAAGGCGGUGAGGUUAAUAACCUCAUCGAUUGACGUUACCCGCAGAAGAAGCACCGGCUAACUCCGUGCCAGCAGCCGCGGUAAUACGGAGGGUGCAAGCGUUAAUCGGAAUUACUGGGCGUAAAGCGCACGCAGGCGGUCUGUCAAGUCGGAUGUGAAAUCCCCGGGCUCAACCUGGGAACUGCAUUCGAAACUGGCAGGCUAGAGUCUUGUAGAGGGGGGUAGAAUUCCAGGUGUAGCGGUGAAAUGCGUAGAGAUCUGGAGGAAUACCGGUGGCGAAGGCGGCCCCCUGGACAAAGACUGACGCUCAGGUGCGAAAGCGUGGGGAGCAAACAGGAUUAGAUACCCUGGUAGUCCACGCUGUAAACGAUGUCGAUUUGGAGGUUGUGCCCUUGAGGCGUGGCUUCCGGAGCUAACGCGUUAAAUCGACCGCCUGGGGAGUACGGCCGCAAGGUUAAAACUCAAAUGAAUUGACGGGGGCCCGCACAAGCGGUGGAGCAUGUGGUUUAAUUCGAUGCAACGCGAAGAACCCUACCUGGUCUUGACAUCCACAGAACUUUCCAGAGAUGGAUUGGUGCCUUCGGGAACUGUGAGACAGGUGCUGCAUGGCUGUCGUCAGCUCGUGUUGUGAAAUGUUGGGUUAAGUCCCGCAACGAGCGCAACCCUUAUCCUUUGUUGCCAGCGGUUAGGCCGGGAACUCAAAGGAGACUGCCAGUGAUAAACUGGAGGAAGGUGGGGAUGACGUCAAGUCAUCAUGGCCCUUACGACCAGGGCUACACACGUGCUACAAUGGCAUAUACAAAGAGAAGCGACCUCGCGAGAGCAAGCGGACCUCAUAAAGUAUGUCGUAGUCCGGAUUGGAGUCUGCAACUCGACUCCAUGAAGUCGGAAUCGCUAGUAAUCGUAGAUCAGAAUGCUACGGUGAAUACGUUCCCGGGCCUUGUACACACCGCCCGUCACACCAUGGGAGUGGGUUGCAAAAGAAGUAGGUAGCUUAACCUUCGGGAGGGCGCUUACCACUUUGUGAUUCAUGACUGGGGUGAAGUCGUAACAAGGUAGCCGUAA
rnacentral:rRNA from 1 species